rnacentral:rRNA from 1 species
AUUGAACGCUGGCGGCAGGCUUAACACAUGCAAGUCGAACGAGUGGCGGACGGGUGAGUAAUGCAUGGGAAUCUAGCUCAAGGAGGGGGGUAACUACGGGAAACUGUAGCUAAUACCGCGUAGCAUAGGAUGAGCCCAAGUGGGAUUAGGUAGUUGGUGAGGUAAAGGCUCACCAAGCCGACGAGCUAUAGCUGGUCUGAGAGGAUGACCGGCCACCCGGGGAGUGAGACACGGCCCAGACUCCUACGGGAGGCAGCAGUGGGGAAUAUUGCGCAAUGGGGGCAAACUGACGGAUCCACGCCGCGUGAAUGAAGAAGUCCUUAGGGUUGUAGAGUUCUUUCGGUAGCGAAGCGUUAACUACCCAAUGAGCACCGGCUAACUCCGUGCCAGCCGCCGGGGUAAUAC